rnacentral:tRNA from 1 species
AGCCUUAUAUUCAAGAAUGAUAUAAAAUUGCAAAUUUUAAGGAGUAAAUAAUAUUAUACUAAGGCUU